rnacentral:rRNA from 1 species
UACGGAGGGUGCGAGCGUUAAUCGGAAUAACUGGGCGUAAAGGGCACGCAGGCGGAUUUUUAAGUGAGGUGUGAAAUCCCCGGGCUUAACCUGGGAAUUGCAUUUCAGACUGGGAAUCUAGAGUACUUUAGGGAGGGGUAGAAUUCCACGUGUAGCGGUGAAAUGCGUAGAGAUGUGGAGGAAUACCGAAGGCGAAGGCAGCCCCUUGGGAAGAUACUGACGCUCAUGUGCGAAAGCGUGGGGAGCAAACAGG